ACUUUUAAAGGAUAAUAGUAAUCCAUUGGUCUUAGACCCCAAAAAUUUUGGUGCAAAUCCAUAUAAAAGUU
rnacentral:tRNA from 1 species